rnacentral:rRNA from 1 species
UACAGAGGGGGCAAGCGUUUAUUCGGAAUUAUUGGGCGUAAAGGGCGCGUAGGCGGCUUUGCAAGUGACGGGUGAAAUCCCUCGGCUUAACCGAGGAACUGCCUGCCAGACUGUGAGGCUUGAGACCGGGAGAGGUGAGUGGAAUUCCCAGUGUAGCGGUGAAAUGCGUAGAUAUUGGGAGGGACACCAGUGGCGAAGGCGGCUCACUGGACCGGAACUGACGCUGAGGCGCGAAAGCGUGGGGAGCAAACAGG